rnacentral:rRNA from 1 species
UACGUAGGGGGCAAGCGUUUGUCCGGAAUUAUUGGGCGUAAAGAGCGCGUAGGCGGUCCGAUAAGUCGGCUGUGAAAGUCAGGGGCUCAACCCUUGAAAGCCGGCCGAUACUGUCGGACUAGAGUCCGGAAGAGGCGAGUGGAAUUCCCGGUGUAGCGGUGAAAUGCGCAGAUAUCUGGAGGAACAUCGGUGGCGAAGGCGGCAUCCUGGACCGGUAUUGACGCUGAGGCGCGAAAGCUAGGGGAGCAAACGGG